GUCCAGAGUUGCCUAGUUGACAUGGAAUCUGCCUGGUAAGCGGAACACUGUGGGUUCGAUUCCCAUCCCUGGACA
rnacentral:tRNA from 1 species